GAUGAACGCUGGCGGCGUGCCUAAUACAUGCAAGUCGAGCGAACAGACGAGGAGCUUGCUCCUCUGACGUUAGCGGCGGACGGGUGAGUAACACGUGGAUAACCUACCUAUAAGACUGGGAUAACUUCGGGAAACCGGAUCUAAUACCGGAUAAUAUAUUGAACUGCAUGGUUCAAUAGUGAAAGACGGUUUUGCUGUCACUUAUAGAUGGAUCCGCGCCGCAUUAGCUAGUUGGUAAGGUAACGGCUUACCAAGGCAACGAUGCGUAGCCGACCUGAGAGGGUGGUCGGCCACACUGGAACUGAGACACGGUCCAGACUCCUACGGGAGGCAGCAGUAGGGAAUCUUACGCAAUGGGCGAAAGCCUGACGGAGCAACGCCGCGUGAGUGAUGAAGGUCUUCGGAUCGUAAAACUCUGUUAUUAGGGAAGAACAAAUGUGUAAGUAACUAUGCACGUCUUGACGGUACCUAAUCAGAAAGCCACGGCUAACUACGUG
rnacentral:rRNA from 1 species